UACGAAGGGGGCUAGCGUUGUUCAGAAUUACUGGGCGUAAAGGGCGCGUAGGCGGUUGUUCAAGUCAGAUGUGAAAGCCCUAGGCUUAACCUAGGAGGUGCAUUUGAUACUGAUCGACUUGAGAUCGAGAGAGGAGAGUGGAAUUGCGAGUGUAGAGGUGAAAUUCGUAGAUAUUCGCAAGAACACCGGUGGCGAAGGCGACUCUCUGGCUCGAUACUGACGCUAAGGCGCGAAAGCGUGGGGAGCAAACAGG
rnacentral:rRNA from 1 species